CCUGAGGCCAGUGGCAAAGACUGUUCCCUCCAGCAGUCCCCACCCCGCUCCUCCUCAUCUGCUUCUGGGUCCCUGCCUGGACACAGAGAGGCCACCGCCCCUUCCGGGAGGAAGCUCCCAACCAAAUCCAAAUCCUGGGUGUCUUACAGGAGUCUCCCUUGGAGGCGGGGCCCAUGCUGGGGAGGCCGAGCCUCCUGAAGACCACCCACACAGACCAGCAGGAUGUGCUGCAGCCAGCACAGGUGUGACCCUGGGGAACAGCAUGGGCAGCUUCAGCCCACAGCCAUGCUGCCCUGGCCUCCUCUUUCGGCAUUGCCUGCUAUAGGCCUGACCUGGGCUGGCCCUGCCAAGUGUGGGUGUGGGCUGGGUCAGCUUGGCCCCCAGGGUGUCCUGCCAGGCCUGGCUCUUGCUCCACCUGGAUGGGGGUCCCUUCGGCCGGGACUCCACAGCCAGAAGAAGAUGCCCGCCAUGUCCUCUGCCUGAGACACCCAGCUCCCUGCCCUGCCCUCCUUUCUUCCCUCUCCCAGAUGCAAGGAGAGGACUCCCCGGCUGAGCUCGGCAGGGCACUAUCCCUGGAGCUGGGGAGUGAUGAGGAGGACCAGGGCCCAGGCCCAGAGCCCAAGGGGGCUGGGGACGGCGCCGCUGGUGGGACAGGGGCUGUGCAGCAGGAGGGUGCAGAAGAGGAGGAGGAAAAGGAAUUGGAAGAGGAGGACGAGGAGGAGCUGCCCCAGGAAGGGGGCGGAAGCUGGGGACAGGCGUUCUCAGUGACCGAGUCACUCGAGGAUGAGCUCUUGGCCCAGCUGGAGGAGUACGAGCGCACGCUGCUGGAGUUCCAGGACGAGCUGGAGGCCAUCGGGAUCAGAUUCUGCCUCGCCACGGGAACCAUUGCGUCCUUGCAACGACAGCUGACAUUCCAAGAGUCCCAGAUGCAAAAGGUCAACAUGGAGAACGAGGCACUGCAGAAGGAGCUCCGUGAGCGGAAGCAGCAGCUGCAGGCCAUGUCCGACAAGUUCUCCAGGCUCCGGGAAGAUAAGAAGCACCGGGAGGUAAUGGGGCUCAUCGAGAAGGACAACCUCAGUCUUCGCCAGCUUGAGCGGCUGAGGAGCAAGAUCAUGCAGGCGGCCUUCAGCGUCACAGGGGUGGAGGCGUUGGCAGCAGAGAUCUCUGACAAUGACAUUCUGGAGGCCCUGCAGAGGAUCAUUUUGGAGAGGAACGACUACUACCACCAGCUGAAGCAGACUGGGGCCAAGGUGCCCCCGCCGCAACAGGUGGAGAUCCCGCCCAGCAAAUCCAAGAAGACGCUGUCCAAGUAG
rnacentral:lncRNA from 1 species